rnacentral:lncRNA from 1 species
ACACUUUUAAUCUGCUGACUACACCCUCCUCUGCAGGGUUGUUUUUGGAAUUCAAAGAGACCAGCUACAGCCUUGGGUUCAUUAACACACAGUGAAUGGGGGAUAGAGGUUGGAGUAACUUGAUAACAAUUUUAAUCUUGACUUCAAAGGGACUGGAAGGUUGCUGGGUUUUGUUUCGUUUAACUGAAAAUUUUUGGCAAAUGACAAGCAUCCGCGCCCCACCUGUCUCUUUAUCCACGCUAGAAAUACAUCCCUGUACAUGGUAGGUGUGUGCUCUACGGCAGGGCUAUACGCUACGGAGGCAGGGCAAGUUCAGCCGUCAGGGAUACUUUAAAUAGUCUUGUAGUCAGAAAGAUCCCCCAGGAGCACCUGGAAAGUUUCUUCCGAUUUGUGCCCUCGGCUGUCGAGGAGCAGCAGUUAAAGAGAGUCUGUCCUUCUCAGGGCUGCUCUUGCUAUCUGAGUAUGCAUAAGAAACCCGCAUCCUAACACGCAUCCUUUCUCUGAGGCCAUUACAGAUUAACUUGUAGAGUUUUCCCUUUGAAAAAGGAGGAAGGAGUGAGAUGAAUAAUUAAGAGCUAACCUUCAGAGACCCUGGGAGGCUUGCACCUCCCACAGGCCCCGCCCUCCCCGGACCCUGCUGGAACUAACCGGAAGGAAAGAACGGUUUCCUUUCUGGCUUCUCCACAAAUCGCGGUUUCCAAGGCACAAGAUUCCCGACCUCCUUCUUCAGGCCGCUCUCAGUGCCAGGCACUGAGACAAGGAGGCAUCACCUGAGGCUGAGAUUUAGCAGACCCGGGCUCCCGUAGAUGUGAUUUGUGAACAGGCCUCUCACUUCCUGAAGCAGCACAGAGGACUACCAUGCGCUGGAUACUCUCCUCCCAUUCCGGAGCGCGCUAUGGCCUUGGCCCCAGGAAGAGUGAAUCGCGGCUGAGAUCUGUUUACUAAACCCAGGCCGGCAGACGUUUGUGGUCCCCAUUUGGGUUUGUCCUAACACUCAGGGACUCCAUGCUAGUUCUGUUGAAAUGAGAAGGGUUCUUGGAAAGAUGCCAUGAUAAAACCCAAAUCGUGAGUGUAACCUAAAAUAAGAGACUUUCAAACCAGGCUGAAGAUGCAGCUAAGUUUGUGGAGUACUUGACUAGCAUGCAAAAAAAAAGUAAUGGUUUUAGUCGCAGUACUUCGUUUAACAAAAAAAAAAAAAAAAAAAAGGCUUAGUGGUCCAUGCCUGUAACCCCACCCCUUAGGAGGUGAGUAAGAUCAGAAGUUCAAGGUGGUUCAAGCUCAAUAUCAAAACAAAACAACGAAGGUUCUCAGAAGGGAGAACAACUACCUUGGUGUGUCUGUGAUCCCAACCCUUGGCAAGUUUGAAGCUGGAGGAUGAGGGGCUCGAGGUCAGCUUCGAGUACACAGCGAGUUCUAGGGCAGCCUAGGCCGUGGGAGACAAAAACCCAGUAAUGAUGAGUGGAAAGAACUCGUGGGAAGCAAAGCAGUCACAGAUAAGGGAGGUUUGGUAUCCCGGGCCCUCAGCAGCAAUCUCAUCGGACCUGAGUGCACCACCAGGCAGACAAGGGAGGAUGUUAGCUGGAUAAGGCACAGGAGUAGAGAUACGUUCCUCAUGUUGAUGAGAAUAGAAUCCCAGGCCUCAGGCAUGGAUGACUAUCCAAGCAUCUCAACACUGGCGUUCGACGUACUAGCUCUGUGGCAAAAGCUGACUAGUCGUAGCUGAACUUAGCCAGCACUUGACGAGUGCCAACAGAACUGGCCACAACUGCCUAUGUAGUAGCUUUGGUAGCUUUGGAGCAUUGACUGUAGAACACCCUCAUGUGCUGUGUCCUAGUGUACUAGAACAUUCAGCUACUGUCUCUUGUAUAGUAUUUGCAUGUAGCCUGUUGCACAUCCGGCAAUAUAAGCCAUUUUGAGAUUACUUCUUACAGAAAUUCAAUUUCUUUCUAACUGCAAAUGCUUUAUAAAUAUUGUUUUUUUUUAUUUUGUGGUUCUAGAGAGCAAACCCAGGACCUGCCCAAUACCAGCUAAGCACUCUACUACUGAAAUAGACAUAUAUAUAUAUAUAUAUAUAUAUAUAUAUAUGUAUGUAUGUAUGUAUAUAUAUACUCUAAUACUGAUAUAGACCCAUAAGCCUCACUCGGGAUGGCCUGGAACUUGCUAUAUAGACUGCAAAAACCUCAAACUCAUAGAGAUCCUCCUGCCUCAGCCUCCCAAGUUCUGGGCUUACAAGUAUUCACCAACCCAAUGUUAGUUUUCUGAGACAAAUAUUCAACUUGUAGCACAGGCUGGCUUUCCAUUUGCAAUCUCCCCUGCCUCAGCCUCCUGCAUGGUAGGAAUUAUGUGGACAUACACCAAGCAAAUACUUGUUAUACUGUCUGUAUAUAGAGAAUAGCAAAGAAAAGUCUGUGCGUGUUCAAAAAUGAGUCAAUUCAAGACAGAUCAGAUUAGAUUAAAGGCCGGUUUCUUGGGAAGCUGCUCUGGAGGUGGGGGGAGACGGGGAGGGGAGAAAGAGUCCUCAUACAAAGAGGGAAAAGGAGAGGAAAGAGAGAGACCCAAACGUCAGGAUUAGAUAGGAAGGAGCCACUAAGGGAAUGGCAGCCCAGCCCUGGACUGGAAAAUUCAAUGAUGGGAGCAGGGUAUGCCAGGUAGGGAGUGAGGGAUGCUGGGAGAACCUGGAGGCCAGGUCUGCUUUGAUAUAUAUACACCUCAGUUGCUUGUCCAGGGGUUCAAAACCAAACACUUGAACUUCUGAUAUUCCUGAGCUACAGGUAUGUGCCACCACACCCAACGGGCAGCCGGCUUUUGUCAAAACUCAGUCUGCCCUGAGGGCUUGGUAGACCAGCUGCCCAAACAGGAAGCCUUAUAUAAUUCUGUAACCCUGACCUUGGGCCCUGAAUCUCUCUCUUCUGUAAACAGUCCAUUCAACUCAGGAAGGCCUGUAGGCCAGACGGGGACAUAUUUUGAAAAACACACAAUUACAAAUGC